rnacentral:rRNA from 1 species
UACGUAGGGCGCAAGCGUUGUCCGGAAUUAUUGGGCGUAAAGAGCUUGUAGGUGGUUUGUCGCGUCUGCUGUGAAAAUCCGAGGCUCAACCUCGGACUUGCAGUGGGUACGGGCAGACUAGAGUGUGGUAGGGGAGACUGGAAUUCCUGGUGUAGCGGUGAAAUGCGCAGAUAUCAGGAGGAACACCGAUGGCGAAGGCAGGUCUCUGGGCCACUACUGACGCUGAGAAGCGAAAGCAUGGGGAGCGAACAGG